GAUGAACGCUGGCGGCGUGCCUAACACAUGCAAGUCGAACGGAGUCCAGCCUUUAAGACCUUCGGGUCAAAGAGGGGAAGACUGAGUGGCGGACGGGUGAGUAACACGUGGGCAACCUGGCUCAUAGAGGGGGAUAACAGAGAGAAAUUUCUGCUAAUACCGCAUAAGCACACACUGCCGCAUGGCAGAGGGUGAAAAGAGAAUCGCUAUGAGAUGGACCCGCGUCUGAUUAGCCAGUUGGCAGGGUAAGAGCCUACCAAAGCGACGAUCAGUAGCCGAUCUGAGAGGAUGAACGGCCACAUUGGGACUGAGACACGGCCCAAACUCCUACGGGAGGCAGCAGUGGGGGAUAUUGCACAAUGGGGGGAACCCUGAUGCAGCGACACCGCGUGAGUGAAGAAGUAUUUCGGUAUGUAAAGCUCUGUCAGCAGGGAAGAUAAUGACAGUACCUGAAUAAGAAGCCCCGGCUAACUACGUG
rnacentral:rRNA from 1 species